UCGCGAAUCAUUCACAAUGGACGCAAGUCUGAUGAUGCCACGCCGCGUGCGGGAUGAAGGCCCUUUGGGUUGUAAACCGCUGUCAAGGGAGGGGAAACACCUAGCGUUAACAGCGCUAGGCUUGACUGCUCCCUAAAGGAAGCCCCGGCAAAACACGUGCCAGCAGCCGCGGUAAUACGUAGGGACCAAGCGUUGUUCGGAUUUACUGGGCGUAAGGGCGCGUAGGCGGCAAUUCAAGUCAUCUGUGAAAUCUCCGGGCUUAACUCGGAACGGUCAGAUGAUACUGCUUUGCUAGAGUGCAGAAGGGGCAAUCGGAAUUCUUGGUGUAGCGGUGAAAUGCGUAGAUAUCAAGAGGAACACCUGAGGUGAAGACGGGUUGCUGGGCUGACACUGACGCUGAGGCGCGAAAGCCAGGGGAGCAAACGGGAUUAGAUACCCCAGUAGUCCCUGAGCGGGCUGGCAAGGCGCAU
rnacentral:rRNA from 1 species